CACGUAGGCGGACUUUUAAGUCAGGGGUGAAAUCCCGGGGCUCAACCCCGGAACUGCCUUUGAUACUGGAAGUCUUGAGUAUGGUAGAGGUGAGUGGAAUUCCGAGUGUAGAGGUGAAAUUCGUAGAUAUUCGGAGGAACACCAGUGGCGAAGGCGACUUUCUGGACUGUAACUGACGCUGAGGCUCGAAAGCGUGGGGAGCGAACAGGAUUAGAUACCCUUGUA
rnacentral:rRNA from 1 species